rnacentral:lncRNA from 1 species
GGUAGAAAAACCCUUAGAAUAUAUAGGAAAAUAAGUCAUCUUUUUGAAAACUAGACCAUCGACUCAUGUCUUCCUUUUUUUUUUUGUAGGAACGAUGAGAGGGAGACCUUCUGUAGAACAUACUGAAAGACACGAGGCCCAAGAUCGUCCAACAAGGGCCGAGUUUACUAAAAUCUUCUAAGCUAUCCAAGGAUUGACCGCAACUGUAGGACAGAACCAAGCCAACCCUUGUCAACACCCUUUCUUAGAAUACCAACCAGUUGAAAGGUCUAUCUCUCAAAACAUAACGGAAUUUAGGAAGCUUAACUUGCCACACGUCGAGGGUGGCCCUGAUCCUUUAGUAGCUGAAGCUUGGAUCCUGCAGAUAUAGAAGUUUUUCUCUAUCCUGGACCUAAUCGAGGAACAGAAAUUCCCCCUAGUAGCCUUUUUGCUAACCAGUGAAGCAUAACACUGGUAAUGACUUAAGAAGGAAGUCCUACCUACCCCUACCACUUCGGAAGUUUUCAUGAACGCGUUCUUUGAUAACUUUUUUCCAGCCUAUGUUUGAGAGGAGGAGGAGGAAUUUCAGGACCUCUGCCGAGAAAAUCUGACGGUUGCCCAAUUUGUCCAACUGUCUAGGUUUGCCCCUCUAAUGGUCACCCCUAAAAGUCGUAAGUAAAGGUAGGAAGUUUCUAAAAAGCCUUCGUGUCGAUAUCUAUGACUGGGUUGCGAUGCUGAGACUCGGCUCAUAUGCUGAGGUGCUAGAACAUACCCAACUAGCCGAAGACUUUAUAUCGACCAAGUAUCAACGCAUUGUCCGAGUCCCUACUCAACAAAAACACCAACCCUAACAACCCAGAAGAAGACUGCUCGACCCAGUAAGUAGCCAUCCCAAUAAAAGACCUCGAGUUGUCCCUCCCCCUACUUCACCUCCACCUACUGGACAACCUGCUUGACCUUCCCAACCAUGCCAGCAUUGUAGUCGCUCACAUGGUGAUCUACCCUAUCGUGUAUUAAUCACACCUGCUAUCGGUGCGGAAGCACCCAGUUAUAAAGGACUGCCCAUAACGACUGAAGGACAUGGCCACACCUAUAGCCCAGGGUUGUGUGUAUCACCUUGAUGAACCUGGUGCCCUCCCUACUACUGUCCUUAUCCAGGGUAUGUUUUCUAUCCAUGAUACUUAUGUUAGAGCUUUGAUCCAUAUAGGUGCUACCCACUCUUUUAUCUCUUGUGCAUUUACUUGUAAAUUAGAUAUUAGGCCUGAACUUUUAAGAGAAAUACUAGCUGUACAAACUCCCUCUAGGGGAUUACUAAAAGCUCACU